rnacentral:rRNA from 1 species
UGCCUAGGAAUCUGCCUGGUAGUGGGGGACAACGUUUCGAAAGGAACGCUAAUACCGCAUACGUCCUACGGGAGAAAGCAGGGACCUUCGGGCCUUGCGCUAUCAGAUGAGCCUAGGUCGGAUUAGCUAGUUGGUGAGGUAAUGGCUCACCAAGGCGACGAUCCGUAACUGGUCUGAGAGGAUGAUCAGUCACACUGGAACUGAGACACGGUCCAGACUCCUACGGGAGGCAGCAGUC